rnacentral:rRNA from 1 species
UACGUAGGGAGCAAGCGUUGUCCGGAAUCAUUGGGCGUAAAGAGCGCGUAGGCGGUCCGGUAAGUCGGUUGUGAAAACUGGGGGCUCAACCCUCAGAGGCCGACCGAUACUGCCGGGCUAGAGUCCGGAAGAGGCGAGUGGAAUUCCUGGUGUAGCGGUGAAAUGCGCAGAUAUUAGGAAGAACACCAGUGGCGAAGGCGGCUCACUGGCCCGGUACUGACGCUGAGGCGCGAAAGCGUGGGGAGCAAACAGG